rnacentral:rRNA from 1 species
AUUGAACGCUGGCGGCAUGCUUUACACAUGCAAGUCGAACGGCAGCGACGGGGGGUAACCCUCUGGUGGCGAGUGGCGAACGGGUGAGUAAUGCAUCGGAACGCGUCCUGUAAUGGGGGAUAACCUGGCGAAAGUCAGGCUAAUACCGCAUACGUCCUGAGGGAGAAAGCGGGGGAUUGGCAACGACCUCGUGUUAUAGGGGCGGCCGAUGUCGGAUUAGCUAGUUGGUGGGGUAAAGGCCUACCAAGGCGACGAUCCGUAGCGGGUCUGAGAGGACGGCCCGCCACACUGGGACUGAGAGACGGUCCAGACUCCUACGGGAGGCAGCAGUGGGGAAUAUUGGGCAAUGGGGGAAACCCUGAUCCAGCAACGCCGCGUGAGGGAAGAAGGUUUUCGGAUUGUAAACCUCUGUCCUUGGUGAAGAAAGAGAUGACGGUAGCCAAGGAGGAAGCCCCGGCUAACUACGUG